rnacentral:rRNA from 1 species
AUUGAACGCUGGCGGCAUGCCUUACACAUGCAAGUCGAACGGCAGCACGGGAGCAAUCCUGGUGGCGAGUGGCGAACGGGUGAGUAAAGUAUCGGAACGUGCCCAGUCGUGGGGGAUAACGUAGCGAAAGUUACGCUAAUACCGCAUACGACCUAUGGAUGAAAGCGGGGGAUCGCAAGACCUCGCGCGAUUGGAGCGGCCGAUAUCAGACUAGGUAGUUGGUGGGGUUAAGGCUCACCAAGCCGACGAUCUGUAGCUGGUCUGGGAGGACGACCAGCAGCGCUGGGACUGAGACACGGACCAGACUCCUACGGGAGGCAGCAGUGGGGAAUUUUGGACAAUGGGCGAAAGCCUGACUCAGCCAUGCCGCGUGCAGGAUGAAGGCCUUCGGGUUGUGAACUGCUUUUGUACGGAACGAAAAGGUUUGGGCUAAUAAGCUGAGCUCAUGACGGUACCGUAAGAAUAAGCACCGGCUAACUACGUGCCAGCCGCCGCCGUAA